rnacentral:misc_RNA from 1 species
UUUCCGUAGGUGAACCUGCGGAAGGAUCAUUAUGGUACAAAUUGUGAUGGGCAUGCUAGGACUGUCGCUGACCCAAGCGUCGUGCACGCCCGAGUGUGUUCUCUUGCCUAAUAUUCCCUCUCACCCUUUGUGCAUCACCGCGUGUGCACCCUUCUGGAUCAUAUCGGAGUAUGGCUCUCGUUUUUACACAAACCCCCCAUUUAAAAGUAUAUAAUGACGACAUUUAUGCAAUCAAUACAACUUUCAACAACGGAUCUCUUGGCUCUC